UGCAAGUCGAGCGGAUGAAGAGAGCUUGCUUUCUGAUUCAGCGGCGGACGGGUGAGUAAUGCCUAGGAAUCUGCCUGAUAGUGGGGGACAACGUUUCGAAAGGAACGCUAAUACCGCAUACGUCCUACGGGAGAAAGCAGGGGACCUUCGGGCCUUGCGCUAUCAGAUGAGCCUAGGUCGGAUUAGCUAGUUGGUGAGGUAACGGCUCACCAAGGCGACGAUCCGUAACUGGUCUGAGAGGAUGAUCAGUCACACUGGAACUGAGACACGGUCCAGACUCCUACGGGAGGCAGCAGUGGGGAAUAUUGGACAAUGGGCGAAAGCCUGAUCCAGCCAUGCCGCGUGUGUGAAGAAGGUCUUCGGAUUGUAGAGCACUUUAAGUUGGGAGGAAGGGCAUUAACCUAAUACGUUAGUGUUUUGACGUUACCGACAGAAUAAGCACCGGCUAACUUCGUGCCAGCAGCCGCGGUAAUACGAAGGGUGCAAGCGUUAAUCGGAAUUACUGGGCGUAAAGCGCGCGUAGGUGGUUUGUUAAGUUGAAUGUGAAAGCCCCGGGCUCAACCUGGGAACUGCAUCCAAAACUGGCAAGCUAGAGUAUGGCAGAGGGUGGUGGAAUUUCCUGUGUAGCGGUGAAAUGCGUAGAUAUAGGAAGGAACACCAGUGGCGAAGGCGACCACCUGGGCUAAUACUGACACUGAGGUGCGAAAGCGUGGGGAGCAAACAGGAUUAGAUACCCUGGUAGUCCACGCCGUAAACGAUGUCGACUAGCCGUUGGGAUCCUUGAGAUCUUAGUGGCGCAGCUAACGCAUUAAGUCGACCGCCUGGGGAGUACGGCCGCAAGGUUAAAACUCAAAUGAAUUGACGGGGGCCCGCACAAGCGGUGGAAGCAUGUGGGUUUAUUUCGAAGCAACGCGAAGAACCUUACCAGGCCUUGACAUGCAGAGAACUUUCCA
rnacentral:rRNA from 1 species